rnacentral:rRNA from 1 species
UUGGAGGGCAAGUCUGGUGCCAGCAGCCGCGGUAAUUCCAGCUCCAAUAGCGUAUAUUAAAGUUGCUGCAGUUAAAAAGCUCGUAGUUGAGUUUCGGGACUAUCAUGUCGGUCGUGCCUCGGUACGUACUGGUAUUGUUGGUUUCUCCCUUCUGACGAACCAUGAUGUCAUUUAUUUGGUGUUGUGGGGAAUCAGGACUGUUACUUUGAAAAAAUUAGAGUGUUUAAAGCAGGCUCACGCUUGAAUACAUUAGCAUGGAAUAAUGAAAUAGGACGUUUGAUUCUAUUUUGUUGGUUUCUAGGAUCGACGUAAUGAUUAAUAGGGAUAGUUGGGGGCAUUAGUAUUCAAUUGUCAGAGGUGAAAUUCUUGGAUUUAUUGAAGACUAACUACUGCGAAAGCAUUUGCCAAGGAUGUUUUCAUUAAUCAAGAACGAAAGUUAGGGGAUCGAAGACGAUCAGAUACCGUCGUAGUCUUAACCAUAAACUAUGCCGACUAGGGAUCGGAUGAUGUUAAUUUUUUAAUGACUCAUUCGGCGCCUUACGGGAAAC